rnacentral:tRNA from 1 species
GGCCUUAUGGUCUAGUAGUAUGAUUCUCGCUUUGGGUGCGAGAGGUCCGGGGUUCAAUUCCCCGUGAGGACC